CCUACGGGCGGCUGCAGUGGGGAAUAUUGGACAAUGGGCGAAAGCCUGAUCCAGCCAUGCCGCGUGUGUGAAGAAGGCCUUCGGGUUGUAAAGCACUUUCAGUGGGGAAGAAAGCCUUGGGGCUAAUACCCUCGAGGAAGGACAUCACCCACAGAAGAAGCACCGGCUAACUCCGUGCCAGCAGCCGCGGUAAUACGGAGGGUGCGAGCGUUAAUCGGAAUUACUGGGCGUAAAGCGCGCGUAGGCGGUCUGAUAAGCCGGUUGUGAAAGCCCCGGGCUCAACCUGGGAACGGCAUCCGGAACUGUCAGGCUAGAGUGCAGGAGAGGGAGGUAGAAUUCCCGGUGUAGCGGUGAAAUGCGUAGAUAUCGGGAGGAAUACCAGUGGCGAAGGCGGCCUUCUGGACUGACACUGACGCUGAGGUGCGAAAGCGUGGGUAGCAAACAGGAUUAGAUACCCCAGUAGUC
rnacentral:rRNA from 1 species